rnacentral:tRNA from 1 species
GGCUUGUUGGCUCAUUUGGUUAGAGCGUCGUGCUUCAAGCACGAAGAUCAUGAGUUUCGAAUCUCAUCCAAGCCA